rnacentral:tRNA from 1 species
GGGUAUAGCUCAAGUGGUAGAGUGCAUGCUCAGCAUGCAUGAGGUCCUGGCUUCAAGUCCCAGUACAUCCU